rnacentral:rRNA from 1 species
AACGAACGCUGGCGGCAUGCCUAACACAUGCAAGUCGAACGAGACCUUCGGGUCUAGUGGCGCACGGGUGCGUAACGCGUGGGAACCUGCCCUUAGGUUCGGAAUAACUCCCCGAAAGGGGUGCUAAUACCGGAUAAUGUCUUCGGACCAAAGAUUUAUUGCCUUUGGAUGGGCCCGCGUUGGAUUAGCUAGUUGGUAGGGUAAAAGCCUACCAAGGCGACGAUCCAUAGCUGGUCUGAGAGGAUGAUCAGCCACACUGGGACUGAGACACGGCCCAGACUCCUACGGGAGGCAGCAGUGGGGAAUAUUGGACAGUGGGCGAAAGCCUGAUCCAGCAAUGACGCGUGAGUGAUGAAGGCCUUAGGGUUGUAAAGCUCUUUUAACCGGGAUGAUAAUGACAGUACCGGGAGAAUAAGCUCCGGCUAACUACGUG